rnacentral:lncRNA from 1 species
ACACUCUGUUCUUUGAUGAUGAGAAACUUCAAAUGUCACGACUGCACCUUUCCGUGAUAAAGCAGGAGUGACUGUUACGAAGCAGAUGACAUCUCAUUAUGAGGAAAGGGUGAUUCCUCUUCUCUGGAUGAAGACAGCUGUCAAUCAAGCAAGAUCCCUGAGCACUGAGAUACUGCUCUAACGUCACCUGCCUGUGCAUUGCUAAUGAGAAGCUGGCCUUUGUGGGCUCUCAGGGUUGAGGGUUGGAAGUGGACUGGGGGUUCCCCGGGCACCCUCCCCCACCUCCCUGGGAUGAUGCGCCUUUAUAUGGUUAAGACCGUCUCCAUAUCAGGGGGGCACCCCAGUGGUCACAAAUCACCCCCCUUCCCCUCGGGCUGAAAUCACCUCCCCAAUAAGGCAUCGUUCUGUAUGUUUUAUUUCACCAGAAAAGGAUUUCUCACCCAAACACAAGAAUAACUGUUUUUCAAGGUACUCAAUCUUCCAGGCAUCUACUUAAGACCGGCUGACAAGCCCAAAUAUCAAGUCUGUGCUGUUAGUAAUCCCCU